GACGAACGCUGGCGGCGUGCUUAACACAUGCAAGUCGAACGGAAAGGCCCUGCUUGCAGGGUUCUCGCGUGGCGAACGGGUGAGUAACACGUGGGUGAUCUGCCCCUUAUUUUGGGAUAAGCCUGGGAAACUGGGUCUAAUACUGGAUAGGACCUUUCUGUAGGUGGUUUGGUGGAAAGAUUAGUUUGGGUAAGGGGUGAGCUCGGGGACUAUCAGCUUGUUGGUGGGGUAAUGGCCUACCAAGGCGUCGACGGGUAGCCGGCCAGAGAGGGUGGGAGGCCAGAUUGAGACUGAGACAGGAGGCAGAAUCCGGCGGGAGGCAGCAGUGGGGAAUAGUGUAAAAGGGGAGCAAGGCGGGUGCAGCGAAGGCGUGUGGGGGGUGAAGGCCUGCGGGUAGGAAAGAACAUACAGGCAUGAAGAAGCGCUUGUGGUGACGGUAGUGGUAGAAGAAGCACCGGCUAACUACGUG
rnacentral:rRNA from 1 species